rnacentral:rRNA from 1 species
CACACCGCCCGUCACACCAUGGAAGCUGAUUCAACCAGAAGACGAUAUGGCUAACUUCGGAGGCCUUCGUCCAAGGUAGGAUCGGUGACUGGGGUG